rnacentral:tRNA from 1 species
GCCCUUGUAACUCAAUGUAGAGUAUCCGGCUUUUAACCGGCUCGUUGAAGGUUCAAAUCCUUCCGGGGGCA